rnacentral:tRNA from 2 species
AUUUAAAUAGUUUAGUUAAAAUAUUGAUUUGUGGUGUCAAAGAUGUGGUUAUUCACUUUAAAUA